rnacentral:rRNA from 1 species
UAGGGAAUCUUCCGCAAUGGGCGAAAGCCUGACGGAGCAACGCCGCGUGAGUGAUGAAGGUCUUCGGAUCGUAAAACUCUGUUAUUAGGGAAGAACAAAUGUGUAAGUAACUAUGCACGUCUUGACGGUACCUAAUCAGAAAGCCACGGCUAACUACGUGCCAGCAGCCGCGGUAAUACGUAGGUGGCAAGCGUUAUCCGGAAUUAUUGGGCGUAAAGCGCGCGUAGGCGGUUUUUUAAGUCUGAUGUGAAAGCCCACGGCUCAACCGUGGAGGGUCAUUGGAAACUGGAAAACUUGUGUGCAGAAGAGGAAAGUGGAAUUCCAUGUGUAGCGGUGAAAUGCGCAGAGAUAUGGAGGAACACCAGUGGCGAAGGCGACUUUCUGGUCUGUAACUGACGCUGAUGUGCGAAAGCGUGGGGAUCAAACAGG